CAAGUUGCUUAGUUGUAUCAAAUAUGAAGAUGCAAUAACCUAAAUUGUGAAAUAUUAGCUUAUUGCAUUUCAUCUUUGAUACAUUCUUGCAUACUUG
rnacentral:pre_miRNA from 1 species